rnacentral:rRNA from 1 species
AUUGAACGCUGGCGGCAUGCUUUACACAUGCAAGUCGAACGGUAACAGGCCGCAAGGUGCUGACGAGUGGCGAACGGGUGAGUAAUGCAUCGGAACGUGCCCAGUCGUGGGGGAUAACGCAGCGAAAGCUGCGCUAAUACCGCAUACGAUCUAUGGAUGAAAGCGGGGGACCGUAAGGCCUCGCGCGAUUGGAGCGGCCGAUGUCAGAUUAGGUAGUUGGUGGGGUAAAGGCUCACCAAGCCGACGAUCUGUAGCUGGUCUGAGAGGACGACCAGCCACACUGGGACUGAGACACGGCCCAGACUCCUACGGGAGGCAGCAGUGGGGAAUUUUGGACAAUGGGCGCAAGCCUGAUCCAGCAAUGCCGCGUGCAGGAAGAAGGCCUUCGGGUUGUAAACUGCUUUUGUACGGAACGAAACGGUCCUGGUUAAUACCUGGGGCCAAUGACGGUACCGUAAGAAUAAGCACCGGCUAACUUCGUGCCAGCAGCCGCGGUAAUAC